rnacentral:lncRNA from 1 species
UGGUCUUCGAUAGUUCCUUCUUCUGGACAACAGCCUUCUUAUUUAAUUUUUAACACUCCUUUCAAGGUUACCUAUAUGGGAUCUGAUCCUUACUGCAGAUGAUGUCGAUAAAGUCUUGACAAUAAAAACUGAAAGGGUACAUUCAACAAGAGCACACGAACGUAACUAGAUAAGUGAAAAAAAGGUGACACAAAUUUAGGAAGAUGAAAUGUUGUUUCAUUAAUAACUGCUUCCUUACAAAGAAAAAGAGAGAAAAAAAUACAGGUUUCACUUUUCGAUCUCAUCUCAA